rnacentral:rRNA from 1 species
GACGAACGCUGGCGGCGUGCCUAACACAUGCAAGUCGAGCGAGGGGAGUUUCUUCGGAAACAAACCUAGCGGCGGACGGGUGAGUAACACGUGGGCAACCUGCCUUAUAGUGGGGAAUAGCCUCCCGAAAGGGAGAUUAAUACCGCAUAAUAUUACACUUUCGCAUGAAGGAGUAAUUAAAGGAGCAAUUCGCUAUAAGAAGGGCCCGCGGCGCAUUAGCUAGUUGGUGAGGUAAUGGCUCACCAAGGCGACGAUGCGUAGCCGACCUGAGAGGGUGAUCGGCCACAUUGGGACUGAGACACGGCCCAGACUCCUACGGGAGGCAGCAGUGGGGAAUAUUGCACAAUGGGGGAAACCCUGAUGCAGCAACGCCGCGUGAGUGAUGAAGGUCUUCGGAUCGUAAAGCUCUGUCUUCAGGGACGAUAAUGACGGUACCUGAGGAGGAAGCCACGGCUAACUACGUGCCAGCCGCCGCCGUAAAAC